GUUUCCAUGGCAAUCGAACAUGGCGCCGGGGAGCCAACCAAUUCUGUCGUCCACUCCUCUGCAGGUCCUCCUCUACCUGAACGUCUGGUACUUCGCUGCCUUCUACCUGGCAGAGAUCCUGAUGUUCAUCUAUAAAGGGAUUAUUCUGCCCUACCCGUCUGAUAACCUGGUUCUGGACGUGGUGCUGCUGCUGCUCUUCCUCGGCCUGGAGACUCUCAGGAUCUUUUACGGUGAAAAAUAAUAAUCUAACUGUACCUGAACUACCUUUAAAUAAGGAUGCAUAUUAUUAUUACAUUU